CGUGCUUAACACAUGCAAGUCGAACGGAAAGGCUCCAGCUUGCUGGAGUACUCGAGUGGCGAACGGGUGAGUAACACGUGGGUGAUCUGCCCUGCACUUCGGGAUAAGCCUGGGAAACUGGGUCUAAUACCGGAUAGGACCGCACUUUGGUGUGUGUGGUGGAAAGGUUUUUCUGGUGUGGGAUGAGCUCGCGGCCUAUCAGUUUGUUGGUGGGGUAAUGGCCUACCAAGACGGCGACGGGUAGCCGGCCUGAGAGGGUGGACGGUCACAUUGGGACUGAGAUACGGCCCAGACUCCUACGGGAGGCAGCAGUGGGGAAUAUUGCACAAUGGGGGAAACCCUGAUGCAGCGACGCCGCGUGGGGGAUGAAGGCCUUCGGGUUGUAAACUCCUUUCGCUAGGGACGAAGC
rnacentral:rRNA from 1 species